CGUUUAUUUGCAUAGAGUAACAACAGUUUUCUUCUGAACUUGAUUUGUGGAUUGCAAAAUGGACCAGAGUUAAAAAUGAAGGAGGUUAUCUACUAUCUACAGUAUUAGAUGGUUUGGAUUAUUGUCCAGAUCUAUUGUUCUCAAGUAUAAGAACAAUACUUUUAAUUAUUGGUUGUCUGUCUAUUAGCAUCAGCUGAAAGAAGUUUUUCUACUUUGAGAAGAUUAAAAGAUUGGUUACGAUCCCGAAUGAGUCAAGAUAGAUUGAAUGGUUUAGCUCUAAUUUAUGUUCAUAGGGAAAAAGAAUUGUCAACAGAUAGCAUUAUUGAACGGUUUUCAAGAGUUAAAAAAAGAAACUUUGAAUUUAUAUUGUAAUGUUGCAUUUAUUUUAUAG